UACGGGGGGGGGCAAGCGUUUGUUCGGAAUUACUGGGCGUAAAGGGCUCGUAGGUGGCCAACUAAGUCAGACGUGAAAUCCCUCAGCUUAACUGGGGAACUGCGUCUGAUACUGGAUGGCUUGAGUUUGGGAGAGGGAUGCGGAAUUCCAGGUGUAGCGGUGAAAUGCGUAGAUAUCUGGAGGAACACCGGUGGCGAAGGCGGCAUCCUGGACCAAUACUGACACUGAGGAGCGAAAGCCAGGGGAGCAAACGGG
rnacentral:rRNA from 1 species